GAUCAUGGCUCAGGAUGAACGCUAGCUACAGGCCUAACACAUGCAAGUCGAGGGGCAGCAUGAUUGAAGCUUGCUUCAAUUGAUGGCGACCGGCGCACGGGUGAGUAACACGUAUCCAACCUUCCGCUGACUCGGGGAUAGCCUUUCGAAAGAAAGAUUAAUACCCGAUGGCAAAGGAUUUCCGUAUGGAUAUUCUUUUAAAGGAUUCCGGUCAGCGAUGGGGAUGCGUUCCAUUAGA
rnacentral:rRNA from 1 species